UAGGCUAUGUUAUGUAGAAAGUAAUCUUUCAAGUGGAACAAACUGUGGCUGUAGUCUACUGGAGAAUUGAUGACAUGAAACUAUCAUGACAAUGACCCAACACACCUCCAGGCUGUGUAAGGGAUAUUUUACCAAGAAGGAGAGUCAUGAAGUGCUGCAUCAGAUGACCUGGCCUCCACAAUCCCCCGACCUCAACCACAUUGAGAUGGUUUGGGAUGAGUCGGACCGCAGAGUGAAGUAAAAGCAGCCAACAAGUGCUCAGCAUAUGUGGGAACUACUUCAAGAGUGUUGGAAAAGCGUUCCAGGUUAAGCUGGUUCAGAGAAUGCCAAGAGUGUGGAAAGCUGUCAUCAAGGCCAAGGGUGGCUACUUUGAAGAAUCUCAAAUAUAAAAUAUAUUUUGAUUUGUUUACAUUUUUUGGGGUUACUACAUGAUUCCAAAUGUGUUAUUUCAUAGUGUUGAUGUCUUCACUAUUAUUCUAUAAUGUAGAAAAUAGUCCAAAUAAAGAAAAACCCUUGAAUGAG